rnacentral:lncRNA from 1 species
UGCCGGACCCAGCCCGCGGGCCGGGGCUCCGCUCCCGGGCCGGGCUCAGCCCGGCCGUGCCCGCGGCUGUUCCCGGUCUCUCACCGGGCCGUGCCCGCGGCCGCUCCGGGCUCGGUCUCUCCCCGGGCCGUGCCCGCGGCCGCUCCCGCUCCCGGUCUCUCCCCGGGCCGUGCCCGCGGCCGCUCCCGGUCUCUCCCCGGGCCGUGCCCGCGGCCGCUCCCGGCUCGCUCCCGCUCUCCCCGCGGCCGCACCAGCACCAACCGCCAUCCGCCGGCCGCGGGAUUCAAACCCGGCCAGGCCGCGCUCCUCGCCUUCCCAUUGGCUGUGCCCCGUGACGUCACUGCAGCGCCGGCGGUAAGUGCGCGGGGCCGGGCGCGCGGCGGAGCCCGCGGGGGGGAAGGGCGGCCGGGCACGGACGGAAAGGCGGCACGGACGGAAAGGUGGCACGGACGGAAAGGCGGCACGGACGGAAAGGUGGCACGGACGGAAGGGCGGCACGGACGGAAGGGCGGCGCUCCCGGGGCUGCCGGACGGCCUCUGCUCCGCGUGUCCGGCCGGCCCGGCUCGGGCGGGGACAGUCCCCGGCCGCUCCUCCCGUCCGGGCCGCGGCCGCUGCUCCGGUCGCCUCUGACCGAAAGUGCUUCGGGGCGGGGGUUUUGUCCUCGCUGCCUUUCCCCUGCUUUAGCGCAGGGGCGAUCCCGGGCGGCAGCCUGCAGCGGGGCCCGGUUCCCUUCAGACGGGCGCUGUUGGAGAAAUGAAAUAAAGUCCGGACGCUGUGCUCGCCGGAGAGAAGGCGAUCCCCGCGGGCGGGAGACCCGGCUGGGAGUAGAGUCCCUCGCGUCACCCCGGGCAGGGCAGGGGAUGGUGGCCCUGGCCCCGUUCAGCCGCUCCUCGCCCUCGCACAGGGGCCGGGACAGAAGGGGAAGGGUGGGAAGGCAGAAACGGCGGCUGAGGUGGAGAGAGUUUCACGGGGCAGUCAAAAGCUGUGCAGACAAACAGAGCGAAACAAGGAAUGCCUUCCCCUGGUCCAGCCAUCUCCAGGAGAGUGGGGCCCAUCGCGAGUUACAGUGGCCACUUGGGAACACCAGUGCCACCACCCCAAUCGUCUUCUUCCCCCCCUUUCUGUCCGGAGCGCCGUGUCCUUUGGUCUGCAAUAUCCCUUGGGUGCAUCUGGGUCUCCUCCCUGCUGUGCCAGCAGAAAUCCAAACUAGCCCCAACUGA